AUUAAAUCAAAUACAUACAUACCAAGGGUUCUAGACACCAGUCAGAGAACGAAAAAUUCACUGAAGGUAUCUUUGAAACAUUCCAGGACCAAACCUUAAGUUGUGCUGGGGAAAAAACUUCAGAAUGAUCAACCACACCACCUUUAAAUAAACAAUUAUUCCUGUGUCUCCAAAUUUCACUAACCAAUGCAAUCCAAACAUUACCCAUAAUAAAAUUAACUGAAGUAGAUGCAUCUAAGAUUUUGAAAUAUUCAAAAUGUGACCCAGGGAUGUUAUGAUCAACCAAACUCACUCC
rnacentral:lncRNA from 1 species